rnacentral:tRNA from 1 species
GAGAGUAAUAGGUUGCAAAAAGAUUUCUAAUUUUUUAGUAAGCAGUUCGAAUCUGUUUUGCUCUUU